CCGAGUGCGGGCCCUCUGGGUCCAACCUCCCACCCGUGUCUAUUGUACCUUGUUGCUUCGGCGGGCCCGCCGUUUCGACGGCCGCCGGGGAGGCCUCGCGCCCCCGGGCCCGCGCCCGCCGAAGACCCCAACAUGAACGCUGUUCCGAAAGUAUGCAGUCUGAGUUUGAUUAUCAUAAUCAGUUA
rnacentral:misc_RNA from 1 species